CCUACGGGAGGCAGCAGUGGGGCAUUUUGCGCAAUGCUCGUAAGAGUGACGCAGCGACGCCGCGUGAAUGACGAAGGCCUUCGGGUCGUAAAGUUCUUUCGACAGGGAAGAAAAUGCCUAUAAGUAACUGUGUAUGUAUUGACGGUACCUGUAUAAGCAGCCCCGGCUAACUCCGUGCCAGCAGCCGCGGUAAUACUGAGGGGGCGAGCGUUGUUCGGAGUGACUGGGCGUAAAGAGCAAGUAGGCGGGGUUGUAAGUCAUUAGUCAAAGACUAGAGCUCAACUUUAGUAAGGCUAGUGAUACUAUAAUACGAGAGUAUCAGAGAGGAUUGCAGAAUUCCUGGUGUAGCGGUGAAAUGCGUAGAUAUCAGGAGGAAUACCGUUAGCGAAGGCGGCAAUCUGGCUGGAAACUGACGCUGAGGUGCGAAAGCGUGGGUAGCAAACAGGAUUAGAUACCCCAGUAGUC
rnacentral:rRNA from 1 species